UGGCGGACGGGUGAGUAACGCGUGGAUAACCUGCCGUAUACCGGGGGAUAACACUUAGAAAUAGGUGCUAAUACCGCAUAAGCGCACGGCUCCGCAUGGGGCAGUGUGAAAAAUUCCGGUGGUAUACGAUGGAUCCGCGUCUGAUUAGCUAGUUGGCGGGGUAACGGCCCACCAAGGCAGCGAUCAGUAGCCGGCCUGAGAGGGUGGACGGCCACAUUGGGACUGAGACACGGCCCAAACUCCUACGGGAGGCAGCAG
rnacentral:rRNA from 1 species